rnacentral:lncRNA from 1 species
CGGCGCACGAGGCUGGAGGAGGGGAGCGCGCGCUUCUACCCGGGCUGGGUCGCCGAGGUCCGCGGCGCAUCGUGGCGGCGGUGGGCGGAGGGGGGCGGGGGGCACCUCUUCUCCCUUGUGGCGCAGGUGGGCGCGCUCUGGACCGGCUUGACGACCCCUCCCCGCCGCCCCACCUCCCUGGCCAAAGGUUCUCAGCUUCUAAUCAGGGACAUUUCUAGUCCACAGCCUCGAAGCCAUGGGUUCUCCCCGGCCCUCUGAAGCCGCCACACCUGUGCCAGCCGGCCGCGUCCUCAGACCUUUCCCCGCGGAGUCUUCCCAGCACUUGGAGACGCAGCGCAGGGCCCCGAGGACGGCCUGGCCCGGAGAAAAGAUACCGAAGCUCCAACUUUCCCCAACCCCGCUCCCCUCCUCCUUCCACCCUCCCUUCCCGCCCCCAAAGCUCGGGGGUCCUAUCCCUCCUCCGGUCCGCGGAGUCUCCCGAACCCUGCGGGGACCCGGCGCUCGGCGGUGCCCUCCUGGGGCGCACGGGGCUGGGGCGGGAGCGAGGAGACCAGGUGGGGAGGGGACCCCAGAUCUCAGACGCCAGGGGAGACGGCGUUUCCCGCUGUUCAUUCAGGUUUGUGCCAAAAGGAGCCUCACAGAUGCAGUAUUGGGUUUGGUAGACUCAAAUCGUCUUGUUUUAAUGUAAAUGAAAGUAAGUUUAGGAUAAAUUCCAGUGCGGCGGGGGCAGGCAAGGCUACCCACAUUUUUUAAAAAGAAGCCAGCCCGUAUUUUUCUCCCUUUCCAAAUCCUCCGCCCCCCAGUCCUUCGACCCAGGCACGAGCGCCCAUCGCGGAGGCCACGAUGCCCGUUUUAUUCCCUCUCCACGGCAAGGAAAAGCAGCGAAAUCUGAGGUCUUCAGAGGUUAACCCUAUCUAGGAGCAGAAUGUGACGCAUUGUAAACAAAUAAAUAUUGAAAACUCGAUGUUAAACACUUUACUUUUUCUGACUCCGACUUGCUUGACCCCUGAGCAGACCUGGGUUUCGAACACAGACGCCCUUCCCCAUUUCUCUAUUCUCUGUAUUCCUGUUUCACCUUCACGGCAGUCUGCCAGCACUUCUUAGCACUCAGUUUAACCAGAGGACAAGCUCUUGAAUAGCAAAAAC